UGUAUAAUGACCUGAAUCCACCAAUUGUACAGAAUAGUUUCACUGUCCCAAAUCCUCUGUUCCACCUAUUUAUUGUUCCUUCUCCCCAACCCCUAACAUCCACUGAUAUUUCUACUGUCUCCAUGACUUUUCCUUUUUCCAGAAAAUAGUUGGAAUCAUACAGCCUUUUCAUAUUGGUUUAAUUCACUUAGUAAUAUACUUUUAAGCUUCCUCCAUGUCUUUUUAUUUCUUUCAUCACUAAAUUAUAUUCCAUUGUCUAGGCAUAACAGUUUAUUUGUCUGUUCAUUUACUGAAGAACGUCUUGAUUGCCUCCAAGUAUUGGCAAUUGGGAAUUAAGUUGCUACAUCCAUGUGUAAAUACAAUAUAAGUUUUUGACUCAUUUUGGUAAAUAUCCAGGGGCAUAGUUGCUGAAUCAUAUUGUAAGGAUAUGUUUAGGCUUAUAGGAAACCACCUAACUAUCUUCUAAAGAGGCUGUACCAUUUUGCAAUUCCACUAGCAAUGAAUGUGAAUUCCUGUUGUUCCACAUCCUUUCAGCAUUUUGUGGUGUCAGUGUUUUGUACUUUUAGCCAUUCUAAAAGGUAUGGAAAUGUAUCUACUUGGUGUUUCACUUUGAAAUUCCCUAAUGACAUAUAAUAGUGAGAAUAUUUUCAUAUGAUAUUUGCCUUAUGUCUUUCUUCUUUGGCGAGAUGUCUUUUCAGUUCUUUUGCCCAUUUUCAAAUCAGGUUGUUAAUUUUCUUACUUUUAAGUUUUAAGAAUUCUUUGUCUAUUUUGAAUAUCAAUUAUUUAUCAUAUAUAUCUUUUGCAAAUAUCUAUCAAAGUCUCUGGCUUGUCACAUUCUCUUCUCUUGACAUCAUCUCAUUUUCUUUCUUUUUUUUUUCCAUGUGAGAAAUUAUGUGUAUUUGUGCAAGAUUCAUAUUAUUGAUCUUUCCCAGGAUUAUUUUAGUAAUAAUAAGAAGUUACUAGAAUUUUUUUACAGGUUGAUUGAAGAAAUCAUAUAUUUUUUUAAAAGGAAAAUAAAAUUUCAUGUGUAAUACAAAUGUUCAGAAGUAAAUUUUGUUCCAUUUUGGUACAUACUUUUUUUUCUUUUUCUUUUUUUUAUAUAUAUUUUUUUAUUUCCCCAAUACAUUAUUUUUUUCCUACUGUACAGCAUGGUGACUCAGUUACACAUACAUAUGUACAUUCUUUUUUCUCACAUUAUCCUGCUCCAUCCAAAGUGACUAGAAUAGUUCCCAGUGCUACACAGCAGGAUCUCAUUUUCUUGACAUUGUUGCAGAGCAGAAAAUUUCAGUUCUAAUGAAGUCCAUCUUAUCAGUUAUUUCUUUUAUAAACAUACCUUAGGGGUGAUAUCUAAAAAGUAAUUUCCAUGACCAAGGUUAUCUAGAUUUUCUCCUGUUAUCUUCUAGAAGUUUCAUAGUUUUGCCAUAAAUUUAAACUGGUGAUCCAUUUUGAGUUAAUUUUUGUAAAGCGUGUGUUAUGGAGUGAAUUAUAUCUUUACAAAACAUAUAGAUUGAAACCCUAACCCCCAAAGUGGCUAUAUUUAGGUAGAGGGUCUACAAAGAGGUAAUUAAGGUUAAAUGAAAUCAUAAAGGCAAGAACCUAAUCCAAGAGAAAUAGUGCCCUUAUAAGAAAUGUGCACUCAAAGAAAAAAGACCAUGCAAAAACACAGCCAGAAGGCAGUGCUCGGCAAGGAAAGGAGAGAUGCCCUCAGAGAACUUAAAUCUGUCAACACCUUGACCUUGGACUUGCAGCCACUCCGCCCACAUAAUUCAGUUAUGACAAUCCCAUUGAUUAAAAUAAAUGUAAAGUCUGUGUCUAGAUUCAUUUUUUCCUGCACUGUGUUCCAGUACCAGUUUUGAAAAGACUAAAUCUUCUUCAUUGCAUUGCCAUCAAUUCUUUGGCAAAGAGCAGUUGGUCUUUAUUUGUAGUUUCUCUCAUCUGUUUCAUUGAUCUAUAUGUGUGUUCUUUUACCAAUACCACACUGUCUUGAAUACUAUAACUUUAUAGGAAGUCAAAUAGUGUCAGUCCUCUUUCAAUAUUGUGUCGUCUAUUCUUUUACCUCCCAUGUAAGAGGUGUUUUAUCUCUCCAUAUACGCUUUGAAUCAAAGAGUUUAUCAAUAUCUACAAAUUCCUUGCUAGGACUUUGGUUGAGAUUGCAUUGAAUCUCUUAAUUAUCUUGGGAAGAGUUGACAUCUUGUCAAUAAUUGAGUCUUCUUAACAACUAUGUAUUAUCUCAUUUAUUUAGUUUUCCUUUGAUUUCUUCCAUCAGAGUUAUAUAUUGAGCACAUUGUGUCAUAUUUAUUCAUAAACAUUUUGGAGGUGCUAAUAUAAAUGAUAUUGUAUUUUUAUUUCAAAUUCCACUUGUUCAUUGGUGGUAUACAGGAAAGCAAUUGACUCUACGUUAACCUGGUGUCUUACAACCUUGUUAUGCUUGCUUGUUAGUCAAAGCUUUUUUUGUUGUUGAUUUGUUUGGAUUUUCUAUGUAGAGAAUUAUGUCAUUUGCAAAAAAUAUAUAGUUUUAUUUCUUUUCUUCCAAUCGGUAUACCUUUUAUUUCUUUUUCCUAUUACUUUAGCUAGGACUUCUAGUAAGACGUUAAAAAGGUGUGCUCAGUGAAGGCAUCCUUUCCUUAUUCCUGACCUUAGCAGGAAAACUUCUAGGUUCUUACCAUAUGUUAAUUUUUUAUAAUGAUUUUAUGUGUGAGAAUCAUAAUCAGACAUAGAAAAUACUUAAAACUGAGUUCAUUGCUUGUGUUUCAGGGGCCUAUAUUCAGUCAUAGAUUUCUACAUCUUCCUACCUGUCACACAUCUAGAAAGAAAUACCUAUGUCUUAGAAGGGGCUUUUUCCUAACCCAAAAAGGUGUAUUCCACAGUGGGAUAUGUCAUAUAUUCUUUACCACUUAGUGUUACAAAUUUACCACUUAGUGUUACAAAUUUAGGGCUUUAAAAAUCUGAUCAUUGUAUUUAUAUUUUAUUUAAACUCUCCCUUUAGUCCUAUUCAUUCUUCAACUAGGAAGAUAAAACACACAGUCCACUAAUACCCACCCCUCUUAAUUCUGCCUUUCUUAAAAUGUAAAGCAACAUGACAUUAAAUUGCAAAUUCACAAUUAAAACUCUGAUUUAAUGUGUCUUCUUGUAGACAAAUGGAUGAUUUGGUUGAAAAGUAACAAAACUAUUUUAGUAUUAUACCUUUGAAAAGGUACUUUAAGAUUAGGCAACAGCAAACAAGUGAGAGCAAGAUAGAAAAUAUAUUUUUGUUCAAACCCCAAGAAAGCAAAAAUAAUCUAAAAUUUAUUAAUUAUUGUUGAGUUCCAAAAAUUAUGUUCAGCAUUUAAUCUCAAUUUGUUAUAUGCUGGUCACAAUUUGGAAGCUGCAUUUUGCAUUACUCAUAGCCAUAAAGGGAUUGAUCAUGUAUCCAAUCUGUGGUAACUAAAAGUCUGUGAUAAAUGUUACAAGACAUUUUACUUUUUUAAAGUACAAUUAAUGAUGUUCCUACAUAGCAACUUGGUUGCAUUACUGGAAGUCAUCCAAGAGAUUUUAUACUAAUACAGCUCAAGUAAAUAUACUAUAUUAGAAAUGUAGCAAUUUUUUUUCAUAUCUCUAAUUUGGUUGAUUAUAUGAGCAAAAGAAAGUAUGCAGAAGAUGCAAAAUGUUGAGUAUAGUCUCCAGUUUUCAUUUUAGGAAAAAAGUACCUAUAAAAAUUAGUAUUUUUAUUUUAUUUUAUCCCAUUUUUCAAGUAUGAUUUUAAACCUUUUUAAUCUUUUAAAGAAUGUUAUUUAUCUCUGAUUUGUGCAUGUGUUAGGAAAACUCAAAAAAGUAGCCCCACAAUGGUUAAAAUAUUCAAGAUAUUAUUUGUUUAAAUGUUUCCUUGUGUUCAUUAAACUUUACUGCAUAGUGUAACCUUGAGCACUGCCAGCAUUUGAUUGCUUAGAAUUCCAAAUCUGAUCUGUAAAAUCACCUCCAGUGUAUGACUGGGUUUACUAUGUAAUCUUUCUUUUCAAAUAUGCCAUUAUUGUAGGCUUCCACCUAAACCUUAAGAAUACUGUUAUUAACUUGCUUUUAAAUUCCUCAAUAAAGCAACAUUUAGGAUGUACAUAAGAAACACUGAAUUUUUAUUAAACAGCCCUAGAGGAAAGAAAGGUUAUUUUAAGCCACAUCAACAGUAUAGUUCUACACUUCUUUUCAAUUAGCAUUGGAUUGCCGACAUCCUUAAGUACUGGCACCAUGUACAAGUAUGCUUAUUAAUAGAUUUUUCUUUUUCUACCCUUUAACCAAUAUCAUAGGAUUCUUUUAAAAACAUGUCCUAGAUUUUUCAAGGUAAAUGAUAACCUUCACCUCUCCUUUUCCUCCCACUCCCUUUUUCGUCAUUCCCUCAUCUCCCUCCUUACCCUUAAACCCCCUGUUUUCUAAGGAUAUGAAAGAGAGAGAGAUCAUAGAUAGAUGAUGGAUGGAUGGAUAGAUAGAUAGAUAGAUAAAUAGAUAGAUAGAUAGAUAGAUAGAUAGAAUGAACCACAAAAAGACACAUGCUAGGGCCAUGUUAAUGGUGAUACAGAAAGAGAACAGAUUUGAGAACAUUUAAAUUAAAAACCUAAAGAACUGGAUCAUUGUCAUGGAGGUGAGCAAACGCAAGAAAAAGAUAUAUAAUAUAGAAUAAUUAUCAGGUUCAAAUAAAUAUGGUUAAUUACAGCUAAGUUUUACUUAAGGCUUAGUAUGUGCCAAAUACUUGCUAAAUUAUUUUUCAUAUGGUGUUCCAUUUAACUUUUUAGAUAAACUUUUUAGAGAAAAGGAAACUAAAUCCAGGAGUGUUAAGAAACCUGCCCAAGGCCAUAUCUGUAAACAUGGUAAAUGGGGAUUUACAGCCAAACAUUCUGAUGCCAGAGAUCACAUUGUUAAUGAAAAUCACCUUUCCUUUUGGCAUGCUGAUUUUGAGACGCUUGUGUGCAUCUAGGUGGAAAUGGCCAGCAAUAUGUCGCAUAUGGGAUUCUGAAAUUCAGGAGAAAUGGGAUUUUCCAUUUGGUAGACUUCCCUGGGGAGCAAAACCAUGUUUAAAACAGUGAUCCACCACAGAUAGAAUGCUAGGAAAUCACGAGAUUUAUAGGAAGGGCUGAAGAGAGAAUAAUCAUGAGAUAGAGAAAUAACACUCACAGGCGGGGAAAAGGAAUCAGAGGAUGCAGAGUAACCAUGUCAAAGGUAGUAGAUAGUUUCACCAAUAUCAAUGCAUAUAGCAGCACACAUCAUAUAGCAGAAAAGUCAGUUGUGAGAAAAGAGUGUCAUGUCCAUUGGGUAGACUAUAGAGGGUCGUUUCCAGGAUGCAAGAGCAGUUCUAGUAAAGGGCUAAGGAAAGAUGAGAUUGCAGUGCAUGGGGAAGAGGUUGGCAGGGAAGAACUGUGGAGUUUAUUGGGCUAAAAUUAUAAGGAUGCCCAGCAGAUGCCUUUACAUGUAAUGUUUUCACCAUAAGAAUUAUUAUAUUUAUCCAUAUUCCUUUUUGCAGUGAAGCCUGUGCCUAGAGUAGCAUACAGAAAUUUCAUGCAGAGAUGCUGCUAGAAAUAACCUAAACUGUAACCUCUAACUCUUUAGCAGUGGGGGUAGAUUUUAAUGGAACAAUAUUUCGAAGAUUUUUCAUGUAAGCCACAGAAUAAGCAAGAUAUAUAUUUCAGUCCACCGAAAGAGGUUCAUUUGGUAAAGCAAAAAUGCCGCAAUCUUUUAAAACUGAUACUUUUUCUAAAACUGAAAACUUCACACAUUUUGCAUUUCAUUUGCUAACUUUCGCAGCAGGCCUCCCAAAACCCAACUUCCUACUGAAGUGUGUUUCCAAGCAAUUUAAUUUGGAAAUUGAGAGUUGUCCUGACCUUUUCAUGGGUUUUAACUCUGUGUCCCAAAAGACUUCAGAGACAACACUCGACAGGUGACCAAACAUACCAGAAUAAUAGGAUUCCUAUUUUUAGAUAGUAUUUUUUAUACAAAAAAGAUUAUUCAAUCAGUUUUCUUUUAAAAGGCCUUCUAGAGAAGCAGUUUUUACAUUUGAGUUUGCAUGACAUUUACCACUUUGUGUGUUCCAUUAAGUAUCAUUACCAGGCCUUUUACAUCUAGCAAUGUAUGGCUCUCACACACACAAAAAAUCCCUUUGUUUCUGGGCUCAAGACUCCUCACCAAGAAUCACAAAACUGUAGAAAGAUAGCACUGUAAGAUCAUCUGUGCUGCAGAAAACUUAGCCCUUCUCAGAGGUUUGCUGAGACUCCACUCAGAAUGACAAGUUUUAUCAGAGAGGAAAGAUUUGAACUGGAUAACACUACACAUCCCUUUCAUUCAUUUUAUUUAUUCAAGUUUCUGGCAACCCAUUUUUUUUUAAGAGAAAAUAGCCUUAUUUUAUAAGUGGUUAAAAAUGUAGGUUUGGAUCACUAGCCUAAUUUUAUAGUUAAAGGAAACCAAGGCUUAAUUAUGCAAGAGGAUUUGCCCAACGGUACAUCAUCUAUUAGUGGCAGAAUGGGUUAAUGCCAGUUCUUUGGGCUGCAAACUAAAAAAAAAAAAAAA
rnacentral:lncRNA from 1 species